AACUUUCAACAAUGGAUCUCUUGGUUCUGGCAUCGAUGAAGAACGCAGCGAAAUGCGAUAAGUAGUGUGAAUUGCAGAAUUCAGUGAAUCAUCGAAUCUUUGAACGCACAUUGCGCCCCAUGGAAUUCCGUGGGGCAUGCCUGUUCGAGCGUCAU
rnacentral:rRNA from 1 species